rnacentral:lncRNA from 1 species
CAGGCUGUUGAAGCUUUAAUACCAGAAAUAUAUCUAAUAUAUAUAUAUCCUGCCUUUUUCAUGAUAUUUCUAUUGUUCGGGAAAGAAUAAGCGACCUUUUCGAUUUUAUUCUAGAUAUAGGAAAGUUUGUACUUUUUUGCAGGUCCAUUUCCAUUAGCAACAACUAAUAUAGAUUACAUUACAUCAUAGCUUACAGCUUUUGGACAUUGAACACCAUCUUUAAUUCCAAGAACUAUUUUGAAAUCAUUUCCAUCUGAAGAUAUUAAGAUUAUGCUGAAUCCCGGGAGGCAACAAAUAUAUUACCAAAAUUGUCUGUGCAUAUGUUCCUAGGCCCUUUCAUGACAUUGGGCGAAAAUUUCCAUUUUAGCUCGCCAUCACUACUUCGACAAUGUAGAAUGUUAUUUUGAUAAUCGGAAAUAAGUGUUUUUCCUUCCUUUAUAUGCACAUAGUUUAAAUGUUUUAUAUCAGUCGGGAAAAUUUUCAGAAUCCUCCCAGAACUACAGCUUAUGAAAUAGGCACUGGCUACGGUUAC